ACCUCUCCCUGUAAGAAGGGUUCAGGUCUCCCCUUUCUAGACUGUUCUGGGCCGCUGGCACUUGCUGGGCAAAGAGACCAACCUCUCCUGAGGGAAUGGAGGUCUCUCCUUUUCACCGCUUUAGCCUCUGGCCCGUUGUAAUGCCCCUGGCUUGAGGACCACCCUGUAAGGAGGGUUUGGGUCUCCUUUGCCAUGCUGCUUUCGCCACAGGUCACUUGGACAUGCCAGGCAAAAUGACCGCCCUGUAAAUAGGGUGUAAGGUCUUCUCCCUCUCCCUCUUAAGCCCGUGGGGCCUUUCCGUGCCUGUGGCUGAGGGACCCCCUUUUAAGAAGGGUUGAGCGUCUCUUUUCUCUUUGUCCUCGUAAACUGCCCUAGAAAUGAUUUCGACUUGGCUUUUUUGAAAUUUGCAGUCAAAUCCUAUUUGUGACCGCUUGAAUUGAAGCCGGGGUCCGAUGAAACAUGGUGUGGCGAAGGGGCGGCUGUAAGGGGAUGGUGGAGGCCGUGAUAAAUUCGACCCUUUUUUGAAAAAAGCCAAGAAACCCCCCAAAACAAUCCAAAUCUUUCCAGGUCUGGAAAUGAACAGGUGAGGUGCGGGGCUCCUUUCAGCUCCUCACUUCCACGUAAUCCUUCCUCAUCUCCUCUUGCCUUGCCCAAUUGACACUGUCCCACCAACCUCAGCUUUGACCCUCUGUUUCCUGUGCAGAAUAAAACAUACUGCUGGCUGUAGUAGUGUUCCUUGUCUUGAUUGGGAAAGGUCCCUACGUGGUGUCCCAAUUCCAGGCCUUUGGUCUCUUUGCUGGUAGAGUGAGGCUAUAUUUUUGGACUGUCUUUGAGGUGAUUGAAAGAGCUGUCCUUCCUGACAGCUCUUUGGUGAUCUGGUGGCAUAGGUACACGUGUCGUGGUGUUAGAUCUUGCACGUGGGUGCACCUAACCCUACUAACAGGACUGAGUAAGAAGUAAGGGAUGUCUGUUUUGGAAAAGGGCAGGGGGUUCAAAGUUGGAAUGUUCUUGGUGGGGUAGACAGGUAAGUCGGGAAGGGUGUUGGUGAGGGAUGGAGGAUUCCUUGGUCAUGGGAGGUUCCCUUACCUGUUCAUUUCCAGACCUUUUCACGUCUGUGACUCCUUUCCCCUUCUUUCAAGGAAGUAGGAUUUUUGUGAAGGAAGGGUGACCGCCCUGUAAUCGGGGUUCGGGUCGCUUUCCUUUCCCCCUCUUUGCAUUGGCCCUCUUCAUGCCAAAGUGAGCUCCCUGUAACUAGGGUGUGCAACUUUCCCAAGCUUACUCGCCCAUUUGAAAGCUAGUUAUAGAAAGCAGCCUCUUUGGAGAGUUAGGGGUUUGUCCUUCUAGCUCUCCUGUCGCCGUGCCCUACUCACACGCACAACCAAGUCCAAACCGAGCGAACUCUGCAUCCCGCUGGCCCUGACUGCUGCUGCUGCUGCAAGGUUUCCUGCUCUACGCCACAGCAACUCAGAAGAGAAAACGGAGAAGAGGACAGAAGUACCAAAGAAACGGCAGGAAAAGACAAUGGAAGCAGAAGCCACAGAAAAGGGACACACACCUUGCACGCAUGGGCCUCCCUGCAAUGAGGACACGGGAUUUCCACUUAAGCUUCAUUCCCCCUUGAGGUGCCAGGUAAAAGGACCUCCCUGUAAACGGGGAUCAAGGUCCACCC